rnacentral:rRNA from 1 species
CCUACGGGAGGCAGCAGUAGGGAAUAUUGCUCAAUGGGGGAAACCCUGAAGCAGCAACGCCGCGUGGAGGAUGAAGGUUUUCGGAUUGUAAACUCCUUUUGUUAGAGAAGAGAAUGACGGUAUCUAACGAAUAAGCACCGGCUAACUCCGCGCCAGCAGCCGCGGUAAUACGGAGGGUGCAAGCGUUACGCGGAAUCACUGGGCGUAAAGAGCGCGUGGGCGGGAUAGCAAGUCAGAUGUGAAAUCCUAUGGCUUAACCAUAGAACUGCAUUUGAAACUGUUAUUCUAGAGUAUGGGAGAGGUAGUUGGAAUUCUUGGUGUAGCGGUGAAAUGCGUAGAGAUCAAGAAGAAUACUCAUUGCGAAGGCGGCCUGCUAGACCAUAACUGACGCUGAUGCGCGAAAGCGUGGGGAGCAAACAGGAUUAGAUACCCCUGUAGUC